GUGGCUAUGGUGUAAUGGUUAACACAGAGGUUUGUGGUACCUCUGAUGAGGGUUCAAUUCCCUCUAGCCACC
rnacentral:tRNA from 1 species